CAGUUUAGAAGCAGUGUGGAACAUACAUCGCAAAGCUGCAAAACUGUAGGGUAGUUGUUGGAUGACUGCAGUGACUCAUGCACAUGAGAACAGAGCUUUGAAGAGUAAUGACAUUGAGUGACGUUCCAAUUUCUGAGCUCAGAGUGAGAAGUGGCAGCUUUCACUUCCUGCCUCCAGAGCCACCCCAUUAAGAACCCUGCCAUAGAGAAUCCUGCUAGAAUGCGAGAGACCACAGUGAAGAGCAGUAAGGCUCCAGACUGGUUAAGUGGAGAAGUGACGAGGAGAAACCAUUUUCUUUAGGAGAGUGCCUCGAUGAAUACUCUUUGAUUGGGUGAAUCCUUGUAAAGGAGCGUGCAAACAGGGAUGUUGCUGGAAGGAAUAUGAAGUCAUUGAGAACUUUUAAGAUGUCAUCCAGGAUGUGGAGAUGUAAGAAUGGGUACCAGAAUUCUGCAUAUUGAGGACUGAAUAGCAGAUGAGAAAAUGAAGGUAAUGGUGAAUGUUAUUGCUUUUGAGCAUUUGGAUAUAUUUACCAUUUUUUGGUUCUCUUGAUUAUUUAUGUAGAUCCACUUUUCUAUCUGAUACUAUUUUCCUAGGCCUGCAGAACUUGCUAUAAUAUUUCUGGUAGUGAAGAUCUGCUACCAGUGUUUCUCUAAAAAGUUACUUUACCUGUGUUGUGAAAAUACAUUUCAAAAGGUAUAGUAUUCUAAUUCAGCAGUUUCUCCCCACCCCACUUCAAUUCUUUAAUGUAUUGCUACAUUGUCUUCUACUUAAUUAUGUCUGACAAAAAGCCGAUUCUCAUUCUUAUUAUUUUCCCCUCCGUAUAUAAUUUGUCUUUUAUUAUUUAAUGUUUUUCAGAUUUUCUCUUAAUAACUGGUUUCUACCAGCUUCAUGUGCUUUGCUGUGGUUUGAAGUUUAUGAUAUUUGGAGCUUAGUUUCUGAUUCUCUAGGCUUACUGAUUUCAACAAAUUUGGAAAAUCUCCAGCAGUUAUUUAUUCAAAUACGUU